GAUGAACGCUAGCGGCAGGCCUAAUACAUGCAAGCUGGACGGCAAGUUGAAUAGCAAUAUUUGACCUAGAGUAGCGUAAGGGUGCGUAACACGUAUGCAAUCUGCCCGCAACAGGAGGAUAGCUUGAUGAAAGUUGAGAUAAGACUCCAUAAGAUCACAGGAGGGCAUCUGAUAGUGAUUAAACUACAAGGGGUUGCGGAUGAGCAUGCGCAUGAUUAGUUAGUUGGCGGGGUAACGGCCCACCAAGACAAUGAUCAUUAGGGGAACUGAGAGGUU
rnacentral:rRNA from 1 species